GUGGGGAAUUUUGGACAAUGGGGGCAACCCUGAUCCAGCCAUUCCGCGUGAGUGAAGAAGGCCUUCGGGUUGUAAAGCUCUUUUGUUCGGGACGAAACGGUUAAGGCUAAUAACCUUGACUACUGACGGUACCGGAAGAAUAAGCACCGGCUAACUACGUGCCAGCAGCCGCGGUAAUACGUAGGGUGCGAGCGUUAAUCGGAAUUACUGGGCGUAAAGCGUGCGCAGGCGGUUUUAUAAGCCAGAUGUGAAAGCCCCGGGCUCAACCUGGGAAUGGCAUUUGGGACUGUAAAGCUGGAGUAUGGCAGAGGAGACUAGAAUUCCUGGUGUAGCAGUGAAAUGCGUAGAUAUCAGGAGGAAUACCGAUGGCGAAGGCAGGUCUCUGGGCCAAUACUGACGCUCAUGCACGAAAGCGUGGGGAGCAAACAGGAUUAGAAACCCUUGUAGUCC
rnacentral:rRNA from 1 species